GGGUGAGUAAUGCCUAGGAAUCUGCCUGGUAGUGGGGGAUAACGUUCGGAGACGGACGCUAAUACCGCAUACGUCCUACGGGAGAAAGCAGGGGACCUUCGGGCCUUGCGCUAUCAGAUGAGCCUAGGUCGGAUUAGCUAGUUGGUGAGGUAAUGGCUCACCAAGGCGACGAUCCGUAACUGGUCUGAGAGGAUGAUCAGUCACACUGGAACUGAGACACGGUCCAGACUCCUACGGGAGGCAGCAGUGGGGAAUAUUGGACAAUGGGCGAAAGCCUGAUCCAGCCAUGCCGCGUGUGUGAAGAAGGUCUUCGGAUUGUAAAGCACUUUAAGUUGGGAGGAAGGGCAUUAACCUAAUACGUUAGUGUUUUGACGUUACCGACAGAAUAAGCACCGGCUAACUCUGUGC
rnacentral:rRNA from 1 species